UUCACAUCUAAUUCACAGGUCUACAUCUCUACAUGGCUCUGUAGUGUUUUCACAUUUAAUUCACAGGUCUACAUCUCUACAUGGCUCUGUAGUGUUUUCACAUCUAAUUCACAGGUCUACAUCUCUACAUGGCUCUGUAGUGUUUUCACAUCUAAUUCACAGGUCUACAUCUCUACAUGGCUCUGUAGUGUUUUCACAUCUAAUUCACAGGUCUACAUCUCUACAUGGCUCUGUAGUGUUUUCACAUCUAAUUCACAGGUCUACAUCUCUACAUGGCUCUGUAGUGUUUUCACAUCUAAUUCACAGGUCUACAUCUCUACAUGGCUCUGUAGUGUUUUCACAUCUAAUUUACAAGUCUACAUCUCUAUAUGGCUCUGUAGUGUUUUCUGUGGCUUACUGCCGGUGUAGCACGCCUGUUUGUGUGUGUGUUGUUUCUGUGAGUAUAUCGUAGUUUUAGUAGUCCACUGUAUCAAAACUGCUGUCUGCUUGCCCCGUCCUCAUAUCUAAAGAGCAGGGCAGGCUUCUAAUAAUGGGUACAUGUAGGGGUGUGCGCUUGUGUUUGCUUUACAUCGUCUUGGAUACAGUAAAGUCUGUUUUCUGAUGGUUUGUGUCUUGGUAUGCAUCACAAAUUAGCAACUGACUUUUUGAUGACUUCAUGAUUUUUAAGUGAUGACAUAAUCAACAAAACUUGAGUAUUUAUAGUAGUAACAGUGACAUGGCAAAGCCAUUCUCAUUAGGCUGAUGUCAAACCACAGCUACUGACUACUGUUACCACCUCAGCAGUGAUAUGCAUUCAAUAAGGUACCAGUUGUUUAUGAAAAAGGAUUGCAGCUAUAUGAUGGGUACUGGAUGUGUUUAAACCUCUUAACCUAAUUGUGAC
ensembl:lncRNA